AGAUGUGAGGGCAAUCUGGCCGCGACAUCUGUCACCCCAUUGAUCGCGAGGGUUGAUUCGGCUGAUCUGACUGGCUAGGCAGGUGUCCCCUUCCUCCCUCACCGCUCCAUGUGCAUCCCUCCUGAAGUUGUGCCCUCAAAGAGGACAGCCUUUUUGGUUAAGGGUAGACGAGUAGCUGCGCUCCCCUGCUAGAACCUGCAAACAAGCUCUUAAGAUUGUGCUGUCGAUUAGCAUACAGUAUAAUAUGAAUACAUCGCAUAAUAGCUAUUGCAAUAUGUAUUCAU
ensembl:misc_RNA 7SK 7SK RNA